rnacentral:rRNA from 1 species
UUAUGAGAGUUCGAUCCUGGCUCAGGAUGAACGCUGGCGGCGUGCCUAACACAUGCAAGUCGAACGGGAUGCGUAUCGGAAAGCUUCGGCCGGAAGAUACGUUAUCUAGUGGCGGACGGGUGAGUAACACGUGGGUAACCUGCCUUAUGGAGGGGGAUAACAGAGAGAAAUCACUGCUAAUACCGCAUAAGCACACAGUACCGCAUGGUACAGGGUGAAAAGAUUUAUCACCAUAAGAU